rnacentral:lncRNA from 1 species
GGAAGGACCGAGCACCCAGCACCCGGAGACACCGGUUCGGGUUCCGGCGGUUCUGCAGUGAUCGCUGUGUCUCGGGGAAGUCGAAGGUUGCCAUUGGAGUGGUUCCCUUGCUCUCCAUAUGACCCUCAGCAGGUGAAGGGCGGUGUGGCUCUCGAAUGGCCAGGUUCUCAGUUUGACAGUUGCACCUGCUCCCAGUCUUCCGGGUCUUGAGCACCUGUGGGUGUGGAGGUCUCUGUGGAGUCCUGGGGCCAGUGCACCGUGGAUGUUGAGAGAUGGCUGCAUAUAUGAAGUGAGAUGUGAGGAUUCGACAUGAAACACCAGGAGGAAUCUGCACUGAUAUUUCAGGAGCCAAUGGACAGGGGUCUUUUCAUAGCUGCGGAGAAGGUGACGCUACAAAGUGCACAGAACUGUGUGCUCUGCAGAUGAGGAAGCGUGGAGACACGCUAACAGAUUGCAAGGAAAUAAUUCCUGGGGACAAGAGCUCCCUUUGAUCUGCUUUCCGUUUUGAAGAAGAAAGACAGACCAGGAAGUGUCUUUACUGGAUAAACACUGAGUAUCAUUUUUGGAAAGCAUGACACUCAGAUUUGACUAUUCUACAGGUGAGAAAGCCUUGACGGCCACAGAAAAAUAAAGAGAUCACUUUUUAGUAC